UUCCUAUAUCAGUACUGAAAGACCCCCGGAGUGGGGAGACCCUCACUCAAGUCUCGGGAUGACGCAACCCCCCAAGAACUCACACAAGACC
rnacentral:pre_miRNA from 14 species